GGUACCACUGGUUUGUGCCAAACAAGCAUUUGCAAAUUUACAAUUUUAAGGUCAUUUUAAUUAACAUCAUUAUUACUGAUUUGGGGGAGGCAUGGUGGUGCAGUGGUUAGCACUGUUGCCUCGCACCUCUGGGACCCGGGUUCGAGUCUCCGCCUGGGUCACAUGUGUGUGGAGUUUGCAUGUUCUCCCCAUGUCGUCGUGGGGUUUCCUCCAGGUACUCUGGUUUCCCCCCACAGUCCAAAAACAUGCUGAGGCUAAUUGGAGUUGCUAAAUUGCCCAUAGGUGUGUGUGUGUGAGUGAAUGGUGUGUGAGUGUGCCCUGCGAUGGGCUGGCCCCCCAUCCUGGGUUGUUCCCUGCCUCGUGCCCAUUGCUUCCAGGAUAGGCUCCGGACCCCCCGCGACCCAGUAGGAUAAGCGGUUUGGAAAACAGAUGGAUGGAUGGAUUACUGAUUUGAACGAUCUUGUACAGAGUUGUACAGAUUUGAUUAUUAUGACUGGUCACUGGUGCUUUGCUUGGGCACUGCUACGGCUGCGAUAGUGUGUAUCUGAGUCAUCUGGACUAUGUCUUAGUCUGCAUUUUCACUAUGUUGUUCACAUUUGGCAGCUCAUAGCAGGAAGCUGAAGCAGGCUGUAAUAAUGAGAAUUCCAAACACCCACAUACUGGAGAUGCAAGCCAGCCUGUAGAGGAGCAAAUAAGAAGAGGGUAAUGUUCAGGUUUCAUGCCAUUGUUCCCUGGCACAAUACGAGCGGCCUGGAGAAGCUGGACAGCUACAGGGUUCAGGGCUUCCAUGUGGACACCUAUGUGCACAUGACCAAGGAGAUCCUAAGAAAGAACACUUUCCCUCUUUGAUACCACUUUGCUCUCUCCAUUAGAAAACUUGACUGCAAUACAGUGCAAUCAAAAAUCUGUGUUUUCCUCUCAGUUUUAAUUAAUGAAACAAUAAACCAGUUGACUGCUUA